GACGUAGGGCGCGAGCGUUGUCCGGAUUUAUUGGGCGUAAAGAGCUCGUAGGCGGCUUGUCGCGUCGAAUGUGAAAACUCGGGGCUCAACUCCGAGCUUGCAUUCGAUACGGGCAGGCUAGAGUUCGGUAGGGGAGACUGGAAUUCCUGGUGUAGCGGUGAAAUGCGCAGAUAUUCAGGAGGAACACCGGUGGCGAAGGCGGGUCUCUGGGCCGAUACUGACGCUGAGGAGCGAAAGCGUGGGGAGCGAACAGG
rnacentral:rRNA from 1 species